UACGUAGGGGGCGAGCGUUAUCCGGAAUUAUUGGGCGUAAAGGGUGCGCAGGCGGUUUGCCACGUUCACAGCAACAGCCAUCGGCUUAACCGAUUGGAGGACUGCGAAAACUGGCAGACUUGAGAGCGAGAGAGGGACAUGGAACUCCGGGUGGAGCGGUGAAAUGCGCAGAUAUCGGGAAGAACACCCGUGGCGAAGGCGGCUCUCUGGGACGGUACUGACGCUGAGACGCGAAAGCGUGGGGAGCGAACAGG
rnacentral:rRNA from 1 species